CUGGCAGUCGAGAAUCUUUCGCAUGGGCGAAAGCCUGACGAAGCGACGCUGUGUGGACGAUGAAGGCCUUCGGGUUGUAAAGUCCUUUCGCGUGGGAACAAGAAAGGUUACCUAAUAGAUAGCCAAUUUGAGGGUACCACAGUAAAGAAGCACCGGCUAACUC
rnacentral:rRNA from 1 species